GUAAUUCUAUGGCUAAUACAUGCGCACAUGCCUCUUCCCUCGUGGAAGGGUAGUGUUUAUUAGAUACAGAACCAACCCACCUUCGGGUGGUCCUCAGGUGAUUCAUAGUAACCGAACGGAUCGCAUUAUGGCCUUUUGGUCGGCGAUGGAUCAUUCAAGUUUCUGACCUAUCAGCUUUCGACGGUACUGUAUUGGACUACCGUGGCAGUGACGGGUAACGGGGAAUU
rnacentral:rRNA from 1 species